UUUUUUUUUUUUAAAAAAAGUGUUUAUCAUUAUUUUCAAGUGAAAUCAUAAAUAUCAACACUAAUUUUAUUUCAUAUAUAAAAUUAUAUUUCUUUGACUAUUAGUGAAGCAGGAAAUUAGCUUGUAAUUAAUAUUCAACGGUUUUAAUAAUUGAGAUUUGCACUUAGCGAAGACUUUAAUUAAAUGUGUAUAGCAAAAAUAUCCAACAUACAAAAGAAUUUAUGUUGGAAUCUUAAUAUUCUUUCUUUGACAAUUAUGCAAUAAAUAAAAUAUAAUUGUUGUAUAAUAACUCAGCUUGGAAAUGUUUGCAUUAAGACAAAAUUUCCAAUCUACAUAAUACAAGUUGGUCAUUCUGAAAAGUUGACUAUAUAUAUUUAUUACAUUUCAGGUGGAGCAGCAACAUAUUGUAGAUUGAAACCAAGCAUUAAAGUAAGAUAUGACUAUGGAGUAAUGAUAUUCAUCCUUACAUUCAGUCUAGUUGCUGUAUCUGGUAUGCGUGAUGAGGUCAUUGAAAUAGCCCGUGAAAGGCUCUUGAUGAUCGUUCUGGGUUUUGUGAUCUGCCUUUUUACUAGCUUAUUCAUCUUUCCCAUAUGGGCUAGCGACGAGCUUCAUGAUUCUACCAUCUCCAAAUUCGAUGCCCUUGCCACCUCUAUUCAAGGUAAACUAAUAACAUGCAUGCAUGCCAAUUUAAAAUCCUGCUGUUUAUUGGGAUUUACUUUGAGUUAACCACACUCGCUGAUCACAACAAUAUAUAACUACUUUCAAGGAUUUUAAAUUCUCUUCAUUUGCUGUUUGCAUCUUCAUCUUUAAGGGUAAAACUAGAAAGGAGUAUCAAAUGGGCCUGGUUUUGCAGGAUGCUUGGAGGAAUAUUUUAGUCUUGACUAUGAAAUGGAAAGCAAGCCAAUCUUUAGCUUCAGCAAAUGCAAAGCGGUUCUAAACUCCAAGUCCAAGGAUGAAUCCUUGGCAAACUUUGCAAGAUGGGAACCAUGGCAUGGUAAAUUUGGGCUAACUUAUCCAUGGGACAAGUACCUAAAGAUAGGAGAGGUUCUUAGAGAAUUGGCAGCUACCAUUCUUUCACUUAAAGCUUGUCUUCAGUACCCUGGAGAGGUAAUUAAGUUAAUUAACUUCUGUUACCAUGUAGCAUAUAUUUUGCAUAUAUUCAAUAACCUAAAUUGAUUAAUUAGGCGCCGUUGCAAACUGUGAGAGAAUCGAUAAAAGAAGCAUGUGAAGAAGUAGGGUCAUCACUGGCAUCAACUUUAAAGGAGCUUGGAGAAAGCAUGAAGAAAAUGAGAAAAUGCAAGACGGAGGUGCAGAAGUUGAAAUCAGUGAGAAUGGAGCUGAGUGAAGUCACAUCUCCUUCAAGACUGACGCAACUAGAGAAUGCUGAUGGACUAGCAAUAGCGAGCUUUGUGUUCUGUUUGAUGGCCAUGGUGGAGAAGCUAGAAGAAUUGGCCAAGGAGGUGGAAGAACUUGGAGAACUUGCUUCUUUUACAUAGCUAAUUUAAUUAUUGUUAGUAAAGAGAGAUCACAUAUUGAUAUUGUAUUGCAAAUAGAAGUUAAUUUAAAAAAAAAGAAAUCUUGAGUAUUCUUGAGAAAUUAUCUCGAGAGGGAACAUGGAGAGCUUAUCAAUCAUGAGCAUUAAACAGAGAGGCAUUAAGGUGGUGUAUAAAUUUAAUAAUAUAUUGGUAUUCUAGUACUAUUAAAAUAUUUAGAAAUAAAUAAAAUUCUUCAUUUUAAUUUAUAGUAAAAUUAAUAAAAACAAUUAUUAAUUUUUUUUUUUAUCUAACUUCUCAAUAGACCCAGGCCUUGUGAAGUUUUUGUGUAGGGAGCUUGAACCUCUAUUUUGGGCUUCAAUGGGUUAUCAGUGUUGCGGCUUAAUUUGGCGUUACUUAAGUCUUUGAUGAAAAUAUCUUUUUGGUUUUUCUUUUGAAUAUCCGUUCGCCUUAUGUUAUGUAAUCUAUAAUAUAUAAUUCGAUCUCUUAUAUAUAUAUAUAUAUAUAUAUAUAUAUAUAUAUUUUAAAAAUAAAUAUAAUAAAAAUAUUUAAAAUGAAAUGAAACUGUAAAGUGUCAGAAUUCUUUGUGCCAUAAAUAAAAUAUGUGGAAAAUGCGUGUUAAAUAUUUUAAUUAUUAAUAAUUUAAUAUAUUUGACACGUGUUAAGGAGUUGUGGAGGAAGUCGACAUGUAAAGCAAAUGUCCCACCGUCACUCCACAGGUUUUCCAUCACAGAAAUGUCGGAGUAGCAUAGAGGCAGCUUAAUAAAAAAAAAUAAUUAAUAAAAAGAGCAGCAAUUUAAAAGUAAUAUAAUAAAGACAAUAAUUGUCCUAACAUGAUAUUUAGUAAAAAAAAUUAAAAGUAAUAUAAGGGAAAGCACUCAGUCGGAUGAAGGUGGGAUCAACUGUCAUAUUGGCUCUUGAAAUUUCAGAAAAAAUUUUAAGUGUAUUUUUGUAAGUUUCAGUGUUCUUCUUAAACAAAUUUUUUUAAAAAAAAUAAAAAGUUAUUAUCCAACUUGAAUAAUAAGGGAUUAAAAUGUGAUAAGAGAAUUAAAUUUAUUUUUUAUAAAAAAAAUAAGAACAAUAAAACUGAAUCUGCAAAUGUGAUUUCACUAAUUAUUAAUAAACUCAAUAAUUUCUUCCAAUAAAGGAAAAUCCAACCCAUUUCUCUUUUGGUUUUGGUAAAUGAUGGUAUAAUUUUUUUCAAAAAGAAAAAAUUAAUUGGAUUUAUAAUUUUAGCAUGUCAGUUAUUUUUAUAAUUGGUAUUCCACUAAUCAUAUUUAGGGCAACAGAACCAGAACUUCCAAUCAAAUGCUUGGUUUUUUAAUAAAUUAAUAAGUAAAAAUAUAUCAUCUCGUUUUUUUAAUAUCUAAUUGAUGUAAUUGAAAAAAAAAUCAACAAAUAUAAAAAUAUUUUUUUAUCAAAUUUUUUAUAUAGUUUAAAAUAUUUUAAGAAAACAUAAAAUUUUUUAAAAUGUUUGGGUUGAUUUACUUUUAUAUCUAAAAUUUUAAAUUUAUUUUCUUUUUCAAUCGACUAUAAUUUUAGCUAAAUAACUAAAUUAAAUUUAAAAAAAAUUAAUACUAAAUUAUAAUAUAGUCUUGACAUUUAUUUAGUAAAAAAAUAGCUUGCUUUUAAUUUCUUUUCCAUCUAAUAAGCUUUUAUAAAUGGAUCCCUUUGAAUAAAAUUUUUGCAUUUACUCAAAAAAAAAAAAAUUUCAAUGCAUCAAUUAAAUUGAUAAUCAAUUCUAUUUUAAAAUCUGAUUUUAUUUUAUUUUAUAAAAUUUCCAUUACUCAAUUCCAACAAAUGGUGGAUGAAGAUAGGGAUGAUAAGCAUUAAGUUUUAGGAUAUAGUUGAGAGGUUCAAGACUUUAAUCAUUAAACAAUGAUCCAUAACUUGUAAUCAUAAAGGCAUGUAUAUAUUUGAAGUAGUUGAGAACAGACAGCAAGCACCUUUUUUUUUUUAAAUGUGAAAAUUAAGUUUUUUUAAUGAGGAAACUAAUGCCUUUGAUGAUUUUUUGGCUGAGUCAGGAGUUCUUAAUUUGUCAUGAAUUAAUAUACUGUUUUUUUUUUUUGUAUUGCUCUUUGCUAUUGAGAAUAUUUUUUCACCAAAAUAUGCUCUUCUCUCACUUGAUCCCUUGUAUAGAUCGCUCAGUGUUUAAUUUUGAAAAAGAAUCUGUAAAAUAGAAAAAGUGAGGAAGAAAAUGUUAGAAAAAUGGAGAGAGAGGGAGUCCCUGUGUGUGGGGAGUAAGUCUCUUUUAAAAGGGACAGAAUCUCUCCCUUAUUAAGGGCUGCACACCUUAAAAAUAGGAAUUCUUUUAUGUCUUAUCACCUAUAAUUUAUGAAAAAGCCGAUUAAUAUUUUUUUAUAUAUAUAAAAGUGAGAUAUUUUUUAAAAAUAAUAUUAUACUUUUUAUAUAUUAUCAUAGUAUAUUAAAAUUAAUAUUUUAAUCAAUUGCAUUAAUCAUUCUUUUAUUUAUAGAUAAAAUAAUUAUUAUUUUUUUAAAAAUAGAAUUGAAAGAGUAAUAUAUAAAAUUUUUUAAAUUUAUUCAGAUAUAUUUAUUAUUAAAUUAAAUGAUUAUUACUUUUAUAAUUUAUUAUACAUAUAAAUAUGUAUAAAAUUAUGCGUUUAAAAUUGUCUAGAAAGUAAUAUCUGUUUUAUUUUUUAAAUAACUUGGAAUUUUCUAAGAAACAAUGGGACAAAAAGCCGUACUUGUUAGGAAAAAGAGUAAAAGGCCCUGUCUAGGUGGCCUCAUGAUCCCAGCCAUUCUUAAUUAUCCAAUUAAUUAUAAUUUACAUGAUAAUCCAAUGUCAAAAUCGAAAUUAAUUAGCACUAACAAGAAGAAGAAGACAAAAGGCAAUUAAAAGUCAAAGAAAGCUUCAAUUUCUGGGAAAAAAAAAAAAAAAAAAAACAAGAGAGCAAGAGGAACAGAGACGUGGGUCUUCCUGCACAUUAGCAUUCUUUAACAUCUCUCCUUAUCCAAAUGCUUUUUGCUUAUCGCCACACUGCUUGCAACAAAAACUCGCAACUACAGACUGCACAACUUGUCUAGUUGCAGCUAAAGCAACCAUGUUUUUUCCACUUGUCAAAUCAGGAUUGGUGCUGGUUCAGUGCUGCAUGAUUGUAGAAUUAGGUAUGAGCACUAUCCAGUUUCACUGAUCAAUAAACAGAUAGAUGAGGUUUUUAUUUGGUUGGUCCAGAGAUGUUAAAGUAUCUGCCACAAACUGAAAUUUGUCCAACCUUACCUUAUCUCCUUAAAAUGGACACGUUUAAGGUUUUCUUUCUUCUGUCUAGUGUUGUUUUUGCCUAAAUUUUGGACUCUUGCAGAGGAAGAGAUGUCUGUCUGUGCAUGCAUUCAUCCAGUAAAGAAUAAAGCUAAUGGAAGAUUACUUGACAGCUGCAGGAAUUUUUUUUCACAAUUGGAAAUCUGUAGUUUUAGCCAACAGUAAAAGAUUAAUUUAAUCUUCACAUGCAUAAUUUGUUACCCACUAAGGAAUCUGAGCACAAUUACCAUUCUGGUCCCUCAGAUAAGGAUAAUGUUGCUACAAGUAGUGAAGUGACUCGCUGACUAUAACCAGCAACGCUUAAUCCACCAAUCCACGGCAGCAGAGGGAUUGUGCUUUUAGUUGAAAUUCCCAACAACGCUCAACUUUCUCCAAUGUGCUUGAGUUCUGCAAUAUGCAAAAUAGAUAAUGGUGGAAUUGGAAAAUGAGGAUUAAUCUCCUUGCCACAACCCCAGCUCUACUUUCUUCUCAUAAGUAAAAUCCCAUUAGUUCCACACAAGCUUUAAGGGUUGAAUCCCAUGUCCUUGUUUAUAAAUUUUUUCAAGCUGUAGAUUGAGAAACUUGUAUGGAAAAUAUUAAGGUAGAGUCUUGUAUGCUAAACAAGUGUUGCCAAAUGCUGCCUUUGGGCAAUUUGGAAAGGCAGACUGUCAAAGGUGCAAGUGCCAUUAUCAGCUUAUCAACAUUUUUGACGUGGUGGACCGGAUUUAUCGAGAUUUUUAUUUAUUUAUUUUUAAUUCAGAUCCGUACCAUAAUGACUUUGAAGGCACAAGUUACGUUAUUAUUUGAAUUUUUCACAAACAUACUUCCUACAAGAAAAUGAUGAUUGAAUGGUAAAAUUUAAUUUAAUUCACUUUCAAUUAGAAAAUCCAUAGAUUUUUAAAAUUUUAAUUAUUAAAUUUGUAUAUUUUUAAAUUAAUUAUAAUCCUAUUUUUUAUUUUAUUUUUAUAAUUUUUUUUAAAAUAUCUCUUAAUAUUUAAUAAAAUUUAAUAUAUUUAAAAUCGAUAUAAUGAAAAAUUAAUAAAAAAUGAUAUUUUUUAAUAUAUAUAAAAAAUAAAAUAAAUAAAAAUUAUGAAAUGAAAAUAGUACUGUAUUUAGAUAGAAAAAAUAAAAGAAAAAAGAAAAUUAAGAAAAUAAAAAUAUUUUUCAUUUUAUUUUGUUGGAAUUGAAGAAAAAUAAGAAAAGAAAAAAAAUAAGAGUAAAAAAUAGUAAAAUAAAAUUACUAUUCACUUUCUCCCUAAUUUAGAGAGAAAGUGGGUGAAAAAUAAAUGUAAAUUAUUUAUUUUUAUUAUAAUUAUGAGGAAUAAAAUAAUACUAUUCCCUCUUAAUUUUUUUUAACAUUCAAAUAAUGAGAGAAAAAUAAUCUUUUUUUAACAUUCAAAUAAUGUAAAUAAUUAAGUUUAAAAAAAAAGACAUAUAUGUUAUUUUAACACAAUUCAAAAAUUAAGAAAAAUAAUAAAAAUAAAAUAUUAUAUUCUUAGUAAACUUCUUUUUAUUCAUUUUCAUUAUAAAAUAAUUAUAUUAUUUAAUUUAGUUAAUAAAAAAAAUUAAAAGAAAAAUUACCUAAUCCCAUGUCUUUUCUUUUUUUAACUUUUUAUGUAAUUCUUUUUUAUUUUUUCAAAAGGUAUCCCAUUUGUUAAAAUUUCUCAAACCUUAUUUGAGGUUUAUUGUUUGCAAAUCCCUUGAUUUGGCAAAAGAUAAAAAGAGAAAAAAAAAAUAUCAUGAGUUUACAAGUGCAAAAUUUAAAAAUAUAUACAUAAUGAGAAUGAAAGAGAGAAGAAAAGAGGCAAAUUACGUAUACAGAUCAUCAAGUGUAAUAAUAAACAUCCUUUUUGUUUGUAUUCUCUGUGUAAUAAAAGUAGAGGCUUGUGUAUACUCAUUUUGACUAUCAAACUUGCUUCGUCUGUACAACAAGUCUGGCUUCCAAGAUUCCCUCACUGUCCUCUUGGCGCCUGUUAGGCUCAUCUGCUGACCUAUCACAAUCCUGGUAUAUUACAGGAACCGUAGAUAACAACUAGCAUAACUUGAUUCUUUCUCAGUGAUGUUAUGGCAAAUGAUGAAUGGCCACGUAGAAACCAACUUUACAAGAUGAUGAUUUUGCUGGUUGUUGUAAAGACCCUUUUGUCUACAAAUUGCAGUCCUUUAAUCAUGUUUUAAAAAAAAUCAGAAAGCUUUCUAUACCGAUCACAAUGGGGCUUGAGAAGAUUCAGUAGAAUUUUGUGAAUGAACAGACUCCCGCUUGAGAAAAAGUGCAUAAAGAAGCUCAUUCCAGGAAUCAGGGACACCAGGCAAACACCAAUGACUGCAGUCCUGCCGGUGGAGAGAGGCUGGGCCAUUGCCUGGACCUAGAUAGUACACAGAUGCAUGACCAUCCUUUCUCCGUGCAGCCAUGUUUGUGACAUUCAAUAAAUCUAAAUUCAUCACAUGUGAUUCAUUUGAAUGCUCUAAUAACACAUCAUAAAAUAUCUUGAAACGGUAGUCUGAUGAACUCGGCAAUGAGCCCAAGUCUGGAAGCUUUUCCAAGUGACAGCUACCACCAUUUCUCCAGUCACCACCUCUGUUACACAACAGUUAGUUGCAUGUGAUGAUAAUAUAACAUCUUGGACAUCUAUAACAUCAUGAAUAAAUCUUAGGAAUUUUUUAUGUGUUGUCUCUAAAAACCAAAUCAAACUGAAAUACCAUGCGAGGAAAAUUAAAAGGAGAACUGCAGAUAAAGAAUGAAUUAAUAAUGUCAUAUACCUGAAAUGAAUAGGAGCAUAGGUUCGAAAGAAGACUUGGGUCUUGCUCAUAUUUAUUUUGCUGUGAAUCCAAUCAAGCAGAGUUUCAAGUGAUCUUUGAUAUGCAGUUUCAACACUCAUCUCCAUCUUUACCUCCUCCCCCUCUUGGAAGUAGCAACCCCUAACACACAAAGCCAAAUAUUAUGAUAGGAUGAAGCAGCCCUCAAAAAAUAGCAUGCAUAGAUAACUGCUAACCAUUGCAAUUUAUAAACACUUAUAAAAUCUCAAUAAAGUACAACAAGACUUUUACCAAGAUCAUAUAAGAAAGGUCACAGGGAAAACAGAGCAGUUAAGCAGAAAGAAGAAAAUAUGGUUCAUCUAUUCCCUUUUUAAAACUGAAGAACGUAGUAAAUUAUUUAUGAGCAAGCUAAUUUUUAGUUUCACUUAUCAUGAUAACUCAUUCUGACUUCAGUCCUAUCAAGCUUGCGCGCUAUUCCUCCAAUGAUCUUCACUUAAUUGAGUUCACAGAGUAGGUUGGUCAGUCAUGUUCAAUUUGUAUCCAUUUUUGUGGAGAAUGAAAGCAUGCAUAAUAUAAAUGGCAAUGUAAGGGUGCAGCAACACGAGGUGAACAGGUGGUGACAGCAGAACACUGGUAAUGGGGGUACUUUAUGUAUGAGAUUUCUGUAGUAGCAACAAUAAGAACCUGGUAGUAUUGUUGUGAGGAAUAGGUAGUUGGUAAUACAUUAGCAUAGUAAUAAAGAAAUAUACAAAGAUUCUCUAGCAUUUUUUUUUUUCCUUUUGAAGUUCUUAGUAUAAGCCCAGAGACAUCUUAUCUAGUUGUCAAUGCCUUAACCUCUCAAUAAACUCAAGCAUGCAUUGCAUAUUGUAAGGUUUGGAGUUGGGGCUUUUUCUUCUGUCGUAACGGGGUUAAAUAGGAUUCAGUUAGAUUUCUAGUUCCCAGUGAACAAGCAGAAAAUAAAAGAAAUAAUGUUAUGCUGCUUAUUCCCCAUCAUCUAUCUAAAAAAUGGACACACCAUUGGCCAACUUCAAGGCCUAAUUUCUAUACUGAGCAGAUGCAUAUGCUACCUAAAGAAGUAAACAUCAUAUUUAUCUAAUUAUAAUUCUUCUAGCGAAAUCAUGCAUUCACAAGAUGUUCUCCUCAAUAUCCCCCCGUUGAGGUUGCAUGGGACUGAACAAAAUAAAUAAAAAGGAAGAGGUACCAGAUAGGUUGUGUUUACCCUCUUAUGGUCUUCUCAUAAUUCCACCAGUGGCCAGAGUUAAAAAUCAAUACAUCCGCAUCCUUCCAUUGUGCGGACAUCCAAUCCAAAACAUCCACUCUUAAAGUCAUCUUCACCUUUGCUGGAGCUCCGGCUGGAGCCCGGCCCUGGUACACUAGAAAUGGAGAUCUGUAAUAUUCAACAGUGCAAUUAUAGUCCUUGAACAUGAAGGAUAGAAACCCUUUAUGCUUUGUGAUUGGCCUCCCGUUCACCUCGUAGAUUGAAGACUUGUCAGUAACAGCAGUGGCAAGCAUACAGAGGAGGGACUCCCACUGGUUUCUUCCAAUUGAAUCCCCAACAAACACAAGUCUCCGGUUCCUUAGCUUUUCCAACAUCACCUUUGCAUCAAAUCUAUUCUCAAGGAAGAUAAUAUAAAAACAAAGUUAAAAACCAAGCAGAGAGCUGAAGGAGGGAAAACACUAUUUUAGGAAUUCAGAGUUUUGUCUGAUAGAAAGAAAGAAAAAAAAAAAAAGAAACAUAAUGAUUAAGAGGUUUUCCAAAUUCAAAUCCCCUUGGAACAAAACUCUUUCAUUAAUUUACACUGAAACCAUAAUAAUUAAUUCAUAUAUCCUGGAUGCAGCAUUUCAAAUGGAAGUGAAACCCCAACAAUCAAGAACAUACGGCACGAGUAGGGGCAACAACUAAUCCACAAAUUAUCAUAAGCGAAAAGCAAAUAACACCCUCCAUUAAAGACAACAGAGGAAGCAAAAUAAAUUAUUCGAUGGUAAUUUCCAGGCAGUAAUCGACCAUAAAAAAAAAAAAAGAAAAAAAAAGAAGCUAAAUAACGGUCCUUUUUGUGGCUGGGAGAAAUUAAGCAAAACCUGCAUCUUACUCAAACUAGAGUUUAACUUAGCAGCCUGUCAUCUGUACCAAACCAAAUACAUCAAUAAAAAUAAAUGACAGUACAAAACGUUUUCAGAUUGAUUCCAGAGUUCCUCAGCUACAAAACCGAAUUCAAAACCGAAAAGAUAAAAUAAAAAUUAGAUGGAUCAGAUUUAAAGGAAGAAACGAACCUCGGCAAGUCACAAUGUUUGGGUUGCCAACGCCACUUGGUGUAGAAGCUAUCGGGCCUUCCAUUCUCUAAACACCUAAACCCACCAUCUAUAAAGGAGCAAUCUUUACUCUGAUACAAUGGAUAACUCUCAUCCCAAAUCCAGUUGCCAUAAAAAAUGUCACACCCAUCACCGCGCUUAUCAAGAAAUCCCGGCCGUCCAUUAUCAGUAUCCAUUUCUGCUGAUGUAUAUGGAUUAAUCAGUCCCAGCCAAGAGACUCCAUCGUACGGCAGGCCCCGACUGACAGACCGGUAAUCCAAGUAGAAGAAACAUCCAAUGAAAAGGAGGGUGACGAGAAAGAAACCCAGAAUGCCAAGAGAGGGUUCAAGAGGGUUCAAGCGUUUGAAUUUCUUGAAGAAAUCCAAGUGGGUCAUUGUGUCCUGGUGGUCUUGUGGAGAUGCGCUGUUGUUGCUACUUUUAUUCUUCGUCAUUUCUCGUAGGAAAGAACAAAGAUUGAAGGAUACUGUAUCGUGUUCAAAGAUGGUCUACUAAGGCUUUCUUUAAAAAUGGUGGGUCUCAAAGAGAUAGGAUCGGAGACGGUGGGGCAUCAAAGAGAGCAAGGGAUUAAUGGGAAAAACCGGUUUUUUCAUUAUAAGAGCGUGGUUAUGUUUUAUCUCGUCCAGGUAAGCAAGAAAGUGAAUGAUUAAAGCAUUUAAAACAUUUUUCACAGAAAGAGAGUGGUGGAAAGACUGAUAUGCAGAAGCUGGGUGAUGAACCCGAAAAUGAAAACAACUCAGAGCAAUUUAAUAAAGCAAUGAAUGCAUCUCAGUCUGAGCUAAUCAUCCCUGAAGGAAGAGAGUAAUGACCAGUACUUGGUGGACGACAAGGUGAUAAAUGGAACACAGAAGGCGAACUUAUGUAAUUUGAGCAAAAGAAAAACAAAAUUGAAUACGAGAAGAAGAAUGAACAAGAUUUGUGAAGCGAAAAGCUUGAAGAGCUCUGAAUAGAGCAGCAACUGGCGCCUAUUCCAGUAAAUAGCAAAUACGUUGAGCAGAUAACAGACAUAGAAAGUGGAGGUAAUGUAAUGUGAAUGUGAUCUCGAUGGCCAUCGUGGUUGAAGGAAAGUGGCCCAAUUUGAAGCCCCGACAAAAACACACGCACAGCCUUCAGUGGACAAUUUUCACUUGACGAAAUUGCCCUUCCAUCAAAUUCGCUAAUUAGUAGGGACGCGUUUGGGACUUGCAACCGCUCUCUACUCCUUUCCCUCGGACCUCGCGCUUGAUUAAAGUUCUAAUUUUUCCAGCCAUACUUUUUAUGGGCGAUGCCCGAGAAGUUUAUUAAAUUCUAAUAUUGAAAACUUUCCAAGAUUUCACAGGUAACUUAACAAUGUACUCUACUAAUAUAAAUAUAUCCCUGAAACCCUAGGCCCUUAUUUUGCAUUACAAAGGAUAUGGCCAAUUGGCCAACGGCCAUUGAAGCGCAUAGAAUUAGAAACUACAAACAGAGCUCCGAAAGACCCAGCUUCCAUUUCUGAGGCCUGAGGAGGAGACGGUUAAUUCAUGCUGUUUACUUCUAUUAAUGUUUGGAUGUAUGGAAAAUAAAGAGAGAAAAUAAGUUGAAAAAAUAUAAUAAAUGUGUUAUAUAGUAAAACAUUAAACCAAACAUAGCCUAAACUAAUUGGUGGAAAAUAGGCUGCUCCAACUAGACUGAAAAAAAUAUAUAUAUAAAAUAGAGAUAAGUUAGCAGAAAUUGACAGCCUCUGCAUACAAUGUAAGUAUAGAAAAUCUCUUCACCAUGUAAUUUUCUUCUCAUUUUACCAAAAACAUAAUUAAUUGCCAUAAUUUUUAUUUUAAUUUAAUUUCUCUUAUUUUAAACAAUAAAAUGAAUGCUCGAGUUCUCUCUUACAUAAUAUUUUUUUUAAAAUUUAAAAAGAAAUAUUUUACUUAUUUUAAUAAAUUUAUCUACUAUUAAUUAAAUAAGUUAAUUCGAUAUGAAGAUUUUAUAAGUAAAAUAAUAUAAUUUACCUUAUUUCCUUAGAUGUCUUCAGCAGCCAAAUUAAGAAUUGAAAGAGACCUUUCACAGCCAGAGUUGAUUGCUGCAAAAAUGAAAAUAUGGGAGAAAAUCAUGAAGCCAAGGAAUACAUAUAGAAUCAAUUUCCUAAAAUUUCAAUUUUUGUUUCACAUUUCAUAAUGACAGAUAAGGAAAUUGCGUAUCUUUUAUUCAUUUUGAUUUAUAAAUCUCAUAAUAUAAGGUUGACAUUUGAUUGUUGCAUUGCAUCAUUAAUUUAAAGAAAAUAAUUAAGGUUUUAGCAAUUUACAUAGUAACUUGUUAGAAUACUAAAAUUCCGACCAUUUUUUAUAUUUAAUUAUUAUUAUUUUUUCUUAAAAUUAAAAAUAAAUAAAAAAAAGAAAAAGAAAAGGUUGUCAUGUUUGGUUGAUUAGGAUGGAGCAAAGAAUAUGAGAGAAUGUGUAAUCUAAGUAAAAGAUUAGGCAUAGUCGGCAAGAAAUGGCAAUUCUUAAUUUAAGUGUUGAAAUUGGCAAUUCCAAUAAACAAAACUAUGAGAUUCCUCUCAAUUCUCAUGUCUUCCUAAUUUAUUUAUUUUUUAUAAUCUAAAAUAAUUCCUUAGGUUAUAUCUCAUGAAAACCCUACAUGUGCAUAGAGAUAUUCCCUCUUAUCUCAUUUUAAGUGUUAUUUUAGAUUUUUUUCUAUUUAUUUAUUUUACAAUAUUAAAGACCAUUAUUUAUUUUUUAAAAAAUAUAUAUCUACUUUUUAGAUUAAAUAAGUAUUAUUUUUAGAAAAUGAAGCUAUGUAAUUAUUUCUUCUUAAUAUAGUUUUUAAAAAAUAAAAAUAAAAAUCAUUUAAAAUAUGAGAUAGUGGAAAUAUUAAUAUGAAAAUGUGAAUUAAUAAUACCAAAGCUUCAAUAUUUCCAAGAAAUAUCAACUAUGUAUAUUCUAUGUUCUCAGUAAUUCUACUUAAUUUCAAUAUCGCAAAUUUAUUUAUAUUUUUUUAGUUCUCCUCAACAGAAAGUAUUAAAUUUAACUGUGAUAUUACAUGAAAAUAUUAAUUUUUAGUUAUUGCGAUUGUUGUGCUUAAUUUUAAUGGUACAAAGAUAAUUAUGUAAAAUAUUCUUACGAAAAUUUGAUGUUCAUCUGCUAUAGUAAGAGAGAUACGGGCUAUAUUAACAACGCUUAAAUUGACAUAUAAAGUAGACUUUCUAUCAAUUAAACGUGUAACAAAUUCUGCAGUAGUAUAUAAUACUUUGCGUUAUAUAAUAUUUAUUCUAUCAUGAGAUAUUAAGAGCCCAUAAUAAUAAUAAUUUUAGAAAUAUUCUUAUGUUUUCACCGUAUUUUUUUUUAUUAUAUCUCAUAUCAAUUUAUAAAAAAAUAUUUUUAUAAAUAUAAUCGCUAAACUUUAUUUUAAAAACUUAUUUCUUUCAAAUUAUCAAUUAUAUUAAUUACAGAAUUUAAUAACCUUAUCGGAAUUAUGCUUUACUAUUGGCAGCUAUAUAAUGCAAUUGUUGAUAGAAAAAAAAAAAAAAAGAAAACCAUGUAUAUCCUAUGCAUUUAAUAGAAAACAAUAAUAGAAAGGAAUAUAAGGAAAUGUAUGAGUAUAUUUUUAUAAAUGAUUGUCUCAAAAUGUCAACUGAUCAAUGAUUAGCAAGUCAUUUAAUUUUCUUUGUGCAUAUGGAGACAGAAGCUUCUUGUCCUUCCUUCCCAAUUUCAACUUCCAUUUUCAAAUCAGUUUCCUCAAUUCAAAUUAUUGAUUUUAGAAAAAGGGAUUCUAGUGCUUGAGGUGGUGAGCCUUCCACACAAUUUUUAACCAAUUACAUUUUAUUUACUAAAUUAUCAUCUCUCAAUUUAUACUUUGACUUUAAUACUUUAUUCACAAUAAAAUUACUAAACAUGUGCCCUAAUGCCCAAUUUAAUUUAAAUUAACAAAUAAAAAUAUAUAAUUCACCUUUAAAUUCAUAUUCAAAUCCUUACUCCAUCAAUUUCUAUUAAAAAAACUGACAAACCCAUUAAAGAAAAAUAUAAGUUUUAUUAAUGAAUUAUUAUUAAAUUAAUAAUUUUUUUCAUAUUAAAUAAAAAUGGAUUAAUAAACUAAUCAAUAAAUUUCUGUUAAAAAAAAAAACACUAAUCAAUAAAUUAUAACACACAAAAAAUUAUAAUUUGAUAUUAAUGAAUAUAAAUAAAUUUAUAGGAGUGUUUUUUUUUUCCCUUCCUUCACAUGAGAUAUUUCUCUCCUCCCAUUUUUGUCACCGACCCCAAUACUCUCAUGCCCACUAUGUGUUGUGGCUGAUGAUAGGGAAGUUUUACAUAAAUUGAAAAUCAUGAAAUUGACAAACAACACCAAGGUCUCAAUUACCAUUGUUAACUUCAAAUCACACACUUAACAUUUCAUUUUAAAAAAAAAUUCAAAUAAAUUUUAAAUAUAACUCCUUUUCCUUUCAAAAAAUUUUUUUUUUUCUCAUACAAAAUAAGAGUAUUGAUAUAAAAAGAUCAAUUUAAUUAAAUUGUCACGAAAUUUCGAUUGCAAAUGAGAAAAUGUCGUGCAUAUUUCUUGGUGUUCUCUAACAAAAACCCUUAAGAGUCUCAUAUUCAGGAUCCAACAGAUGCACCCGCCCCAGUCCCCGUUCCACCCUCACCAUUCAAUCAUGGUAAGUUAAUUUAAAUCAAACCUUUUCAUUUUGAUUUUUCGAAGGAAAAGGGCAUCUGAGUAUUCAGACAGAGUUUCAGGUAAACCAGAACUGUUAACCCAAUUAUAGUUUUUAUCGAGAAAAUAUGAAAAAGCAAUUCAUAUCAUAUCCUGCCAUGCGCAACAGAAGAUACCCUCAGUUCUCAUCAAGAAGCAUCAGCUUGAUAAAGCUAACUAACAAUUCCUCCCAGAAAGCAAACAAGAUAAUCACCACACCUUUACAACGAAGGAUACAACAAAACUUACCACUGCCCCUUCUCAGAAGCAACAGACUGAGACCAGGCAGAUGAACAAAGAAACAGAAGUACAAGUCAAGCAAACCAGAGAACAAAAUAAAUAUACAAAACAUACCUUAACAAGUUUCUGUAUUCUAUGUACUUAAUGAUGAGUUGGACCUACGCGACUCUCUGUGCAUCCAGAUCAUGGUUAGUUACUUUAUACAAAGAAGAUUUUGUCCUCAGAUAUCUUGGGGAUAACUUUUAUUAGCUAUGGAAAAUUGAAAUUUACAUCUGACAGGUACAUACUGAGUCUGUUAGAGAACUUUCAGUUAACAAGAGUUAAAAUAAAAAACGGCAUUUGUAUCUCACAAAAUGUAGUACCAUAGUGUGAGGAAAGCAGCAAUUCCACUUAUUAUACAAAGUCUAUCUAUCCUACUUUCGUUCCUCAUCUUCUCCUCUUUUAACUCGCUUUGCACUUUCGAGUACAAGUGGCAAGCCUCCAGAACUUCACUAUAGUUUUUGCUCCUACAGCAGCUCAAUGCUUCCUUCAGAAUAAGUAAACUGUUUCUUCCGUUGACAUGAGCACCUUCCAUGUCUUCCAACUGCAUGCUCAGCUCUGUUAACUUGAGAGUUGUAUGAACGCCCUCUCCUUCUGUGCGAAUUACUCUAAACUUCAUAAUGAGAAUGCAUUCUACCACCUGACAUGGAAGAAUGUCUUUUGCAGAAAGAACUGAUCCAAAGCGUAUUACAAAAUCCUUGUCCGUUGGCCAAUGCCUUUGCCCACCAAGAGGGCUCCAGCUAGCAAGAUUAGCAGCUUGCUUUAUUUUUUUGUUUACAACAAUCCAACUAAGCCGGAGUCCAUCACGAAGAUCUCUCCAUAACUUUCCGUCCUUUCUUUCUUUCUCCAUGGAGAAAAUUGGUGGCAGACCAUCUGAAACUGAAAGGAGAACUUCACCUUCACUGUCAUCAUCCCUGGCUGCAUAUGUAAGAAGAUCAAUCCGGAAUGGGCAGCUGUAAAACCAACCAUUAAAUCCAUUGGCAUUGGGAAUACCCCACAGGACUUUUGAACAGAUUGCUUUGUCUUUAUACCUGAUAUCAACAAUUGAGACAAAAUCUGAAGGUGCAAUACUCUCAAAUUCAUCUAAGUCACCAUAGUAUUCAGCCUCAGUCCAUUCUUCAGGGUACUCUGGAUAGUCAUUCCAUUGACACUCGAUAACUUCCUUGUUAACAAUGAGUGGAAAGCAGUCGGCAUAAAACUUUCUGAAUCCACCAAUUGAUGUUAUUAGAUUUUUGACAUCCUCCCUAUUUGUUGAAGGCCACAUAGAAGAACAAACAUUUUCCCAUAACUUUUCUUCCUUUGAGAUGGAGCAGAAUGCAACACAUGCACAUGCUGCACUUGCCAAUGUUGGGCCAUCAAGACGCCUCAAUAUGUCAUAGAAGAUAUCACUGCUUAAUGAUGCUGUACCCUCAUCUGGUGCAACUGACAUAGCCAUAGUCCCCUGCAUGAUUAGAUAACCAAAAUUUUGUGUAAAAAUAUAAAGUAAUUGUGCAAGAGAGUCCAUAAAUAAAAAAGUAUAACUUGAUCUUGUGAAUCACAACUCCAAUGCAACAUGCUUUGCAUUUAACUUGAUAUAAUAUUUGCAGAAGCACUUCAGCAUGCCUUUGGUUCUUUUCAAGCAAAUUAACUAAUCGGUGCCACCUUUCAGAAAAUAAUAAUAAUAACUAUAAUUGGGACCAUAAAACAUGUCAUUAUCCCAAAAUGCAAAGCAAAUAAUGUACAUCAAGGCUCAAUUCAACAAUGCUUUUCUCAUUUUAUCAGUUCUCUUAUUCACUCCAAUAUUGCUAGAAAUGCAAAACACAUGAGCACAUUGAACCACAACUAUUAAAGGCACACAUGGAAGGGAUCAAUUUAGUUCCCAUUCUUCAUGGUGAACAAGAUGAGUUCACUGUAGUAACUCUCCUGCAAAUUUACAAUGUUGAAAUGACUUCUUUUUUUUUUUUUUUUAUAAAUUCUGUUCAAAAAAUAUUGCAUUUUUGCUUGGAUCUAUUUAGCCUAUCUCAAGGAUGAACCAAAACUUCAAAAGUCAUAUGUUCAAAUUGAUAGACAAUAGAAGAGAUUCAAUGAAGGAAAAAAAAAUUGAAAGAAGAAAAAUAUUUGACAUGGCAGGAAGACAUAUGCCCAUGAACAUAAUAUGAAUAAAGGAUCUGUAGCCAGUUUCAAAUAGAGGAACCUAUAUCUCCACUGAGCUAAGCUAAAAAUCCAGAAUGAACCACAACCAUUCAACUGCAAAUGAUUCUGGCCAUUUCUCACAACCCAACUACAAGUGCAGAAACACUAGAAUCUCAUGUGCCUGAGGUCGAAAAGGACAAAUUCCAAAUUCUAGACAAAGCCAUUAAAAGACACGGUUCACAAGUACAUCUUCCUUAAUUUGAGAAGAUAUGACAUUUUUUCUUUUUUACGCCUUCUUAGACUAUGAGAACAUAAAAAACACAAACUUCAGUAAGUUCCCAGUAGAUUUGCCUGGUGGAAACAAGUCCUUUCUUGCAAUUUUCCAUUGUGCAGACAAUAUCCACCAAAACCAAAACCAACCCAAAAUCGAAAUAGCAUAUGCAUGCAAUCUAAGGGCAGCAAACAUAGGGGCAUUCCAUAUUUCCACAGAAGAUUAAGAGAAAAUCAUCAGUAGUAUGAAAAUUGUCCAAUUUUUAAUGAUUUGGUUUUGGGAAAACAGCACAAUACAUAAGGAUCAUGCAAUCUAAAGAGUAAAAAGAAAAAUAUUUGCCAAAACAAAUACAGUGACAACAAAUUAAAUAAGAAACUUCACCUCAAAAGAACAAGUCAUAACACAUCACAUUAUAGAACUCGCAAGACAGGACAUGAAUCGGGUUGAUCUGCGAGAUCAACUUAAGCCCCGGAGUUCAGGUAUCAAAUGAUCAUUCCAAAUGGAUAAAAAAAAAAAAGUUGAGAAUUAAAAACUCCUAUAAUCACAUUAACCCAAUCAAAGCAUUAAAAGAAAUCGUCCAUUAACGGAGAUUUAACAAAGGAUUAAUGUUUCUUAGCCAAAAAAACAAUACCCAGAAAUCAAAACCAGCACAAUCGAUGAAAACGGGAUCAGAGAACGCACCUCGAAAAUUAGAAAUCAUCAGACUAGGAGAAGCUGAGAGAGCAAAACGUGAAGGCAGAAAAUUAGAGCGAGGAAAUGAAAUGAGAGAGAUUCAUAAGGCAAAAACGGAGAUUUUUGAAGGAUAGGGAAAAUAACAAUUAAGUCACUUCCUAAAAGUGUUCACCUGAUUUUUUUCAUCGAGGAUGUCUGUUCCAAAUUUUUUUCUUUUUUCGUUUUUUUUUUUUUUUUAACCUUUUGGAGUUUCCGAGUAUUGUUAAAAAACGACAGGCAUUUGCCAUUUGUGGCCUGCUUCACCCUAAUUCACUUAUUUUUAUCCGUUUUUAAUGCAUCCAUCAACUCCUGACACGUCAUUGCGAUAAUAAUUAAUAGAAAAAAUUUUUUAUUUUUUAAAAAUUAUUAAUAUUUAUAUAUUCUACCUACCAAAAAUUAAUAUUAUUUCCUUUCUUUUAUAAUUAUUAUCUAUUUUAUUUUAAAUAAUUUUUUAAUUAUAUUUAUAUUAAAUAUUAAAAAAAUAUUUUUUAAAAAUAAAAUUAUAAUAAUUAAUUUAUCUGUUAUUAUAAUAUAAAAAAUAACAAUAAUUUUAAAUUUUAAAAAAAUAAAUAAAAACUAUAAAAUAAAAAAAGUAAUAAGAUCAGCAUAAUUUACAGGUCUUAUUUAAUUAAAAAAAUUAAAUUUCCUGUUAAGUGUAAAUUUUAUUUAUUUAAUUGUAACUUUUCUUGUAAGUCGUUGAAUUGUUUUCUUUAUUUAAUAUAGAAAAAAUAUAUGAUUUUUUUUUAUCCAGUUAAAUUAUUUAUUAAGCCUGAAUUUUGCAAAAGGUAGUUUUCUAAAUUAAAUGGGACCUUAUUUGGACGUAUACACUCUUAAGUAGAGAAAGAAAUUUCCCUUGCUUCUUUCUCUAUACAGAUAUUAUUAUUCUCAUUUUUCUGAGAUUAUAUAACCUUCCUCUUAUCAAAAUGAAUUUGCAAAAUCUCAAAUGCCACUCUUUUCUGACUCCAUAAUUCAGUUCAAGUAGUUAUUUUAAAUACCAUUCAUUGUAAUAGAAUUUUUUUUUGAAAUGGAUUCGAACUAGUGUAUGAAUCAGCCAAAACAGGGUAUCUUCCAGGAGAUCAGUGAUUUAUUGUUAAAAGAUUUCCCUUUUGCCUGCACUCGUGGCCCUUGUGAUCAUCAAUCAACAAAGAUUUCCAAGGCAAGCAAAUUCUUUUUUUUUUUUUUAAAUAAUCAUCUUCUCACAGCAUAUCCAUAUGCAUAAUGAAUGUAAUAUUGUAAUUAUUAAAAUUCAUUAAUAGUAAUCCUUUGUUAUUAAUUAAAUAGAAAAAAUUAUUAAAUUUUUAAAUAUGAAUAUCAUAUUUUUUAAUAUAAUAUUUCAUAUUAUUAUAAUAUCUAGAACAAGAGAUUCGAGGCAACCAAACACGUGUGGAAGUGAAAUGAGCAGAACGCAUCCAUCAAGUGGUCAAAAGCAUUGCCACGUUUUAGAUCAUGAAAAUCUCUAGUGUAUCGAUUAUCAUAACAAGGCUACUGAUUGGAGGAAGGGACAUGAAAUGACCUGGAAAUUGGAAAUGCUCCAUCUCCACGGUCCACACUGCAACUUCAAGAAAUAAACAAAGGUGAGGAGAGAGCAAUAGGUCACCUAAACAGGGGGAACCAAUUCUUAAAUAAUUGGGGGUUUCUCAUGCACACCUACCAUCCCUAGUUAAAUUAACAAUGGUUGGUAGAUUGGUAGUAGUGUAAAUAAUCGUUAAGUUUACCCUACCAUCCAUUGAUGGGAGCUCUAGUGACUGCCAAGAUGCAAUUGGGCCACUUGACAAGGGUCUGCGUACCGGUAGAAAACGACACGUCGCUCAGCUUUCUAUCAAAGAUUUCAUAAUAUGCCUUUAUAUAAUGGAUCGGUUGCACCUGCCACCACCGCCAUGAAUGAAGAAACCAUUUAUCACUACCAAGCCCCAAAUUUUCAGAAUCAAUGUAGUACGAAUUGGCAGUAGAAAAAGAAAAUGAAAGGAAAUAGGAGAAAUAUGAUCGUAAUUGAUAAAAUUCCAAACUCGUACAUCCAUAGUGCCGUUUAGGAACAUAUAAGAUACUACGUAAUUUCAACAGCCCCUUAUUUUAAACCUAGCACCAAAUUCUCAUUGCUCUCCAAUCACCAUCACAUAAUUGCUGGUUUUCCGUCAGGGGCAACAGCAUCAGACGGCGAUUCCUCCCGAGCAGAUUCGUCUUUCACAUCAUCUGGAUCGCGGUUGGGGUCGGACUUGUCCAUCGCCGCACGAGCCUUGUCCAGAAAGGGCUUGAAAGCCAUCUCAAUCGCCAGCCAUCCAAAUGCUAGAGCCCCAAAAACGACCAUCGCUUGUUUCAUCGGUUUCGUCCCCAUCUUCAGAUAUUCUCGUUCCGCCGCUCAAUAUGCCGCCUGUUUUUCUUUUUCUAGCUUUUGAUGCAAGAAAGCCUACAAAGUAACGCCCCUUUCUGGGGAGCGAGCAGCGAUUUAUAUUUGCUAUGGGGCACCAAUGACAUGGAAGUAGCAUCCGUGUGCACCAACCAAUGGCAAAACUUAUCUUCUUGGCCACGCCAGUUGACGGUCAAUUUUGAUCUAAAAACCCAACUUAUCUUAUCGAUUGCAAGCAACUCGUGUGGUCGAUUCAAAAUCAUCGCUUUGUAAAUGAGUGCUAUUUUAAUACAAUCUGCGACGGUGUUGAAACUGAAGAUCAGAUCCAAGCACUCAAAAACAGAAUCAUCUCACGUAUUUGAAAUUUCAGGCUGAUUAUUAAAGCAGUUCAAUAUCUAUGUGGAUUUGGACGAUUGUCCAAUCGCUUAGGUGCAAUC
rnacentral:lncRNA from 1 species